rnacentral:rRNA from 1 species
GAGUUUGAUCCUGGCUCAGGAUGAACGCUAGCGGGAGGCCUAACACAUGCAAGCCGAGGGGUAUGUUUCUUUCGGGAAACGGAGACCGGCGCACGGGUGCGUAACGCGUAUGCAACUUGCCCUACUGAAGGGGAUAGCCCAGAGAAAUUUGGAUUAAUACCUUAUAAUAUAAGCUAUGGCAUCGUAGCUUAUUGAAAGAUUUAUCGCAGUAGGAUAGGCAUGCGUAAGAUUAGUUAGUUGGUAAGGUAACGGCUUACCAAGACGAUGAUCUUUAGGGGGGCCUGAGAGGGUGAUCCCCCACACUGGUACUGAGACACGGACCAGACUCCUACGGGAGGCAGCAGUGAGGAAUAUUGGACAAUGGGUGGAAGCCUGAUCCAGCCAUCCCGCGUGUAGGAUGACGGCCUUAUGGGUUGUAAACUACUUUUAUCUGGGGAUAAACCUAUCUACGUGUAGAUAGCUGAAGGUACCAGAAGAAUAAGCACCGGCUAACUCCGUG